GACGAACGCUGGCGGCGUGCCUAACACAUGCAAGUCGAACGGACAGGCCCUGCUCUUGCGGGGCGCUCGAGUGGCGAACGGGUGAGUAACACGCGAGUAACAUGCACUUGUCAUUGGGAUAACUUCACGAAACUGGGGCUCAUAUAGCAUAGGAGAUCUUGAUCCAUGGUGGGGGUUGGUAAGAUUCGGCGGUUGGGGAUGGACUGGCGGCUUAUCAGCUAGAUGGUGGGGUAGUGGCUUACCAAGGCUAUGACGGAUAGGCCGCGUGGGAGGGUGAACGGGCUCAUUGGUACUGAGAUACGCCCCAGACGCGUAUGUGAGGCAGCAGUGGGGAAUAUUGCGGAACAGGCGGGAGCCUGAGACAGCGGCGUCGCGUGCGUAAUGACGGCCUUCGAGUUAAAAACCGCUUUCGCCUUUGACAAGGCGUGAUUGACGGUAAUGGGUAAGGAAGCACCGGCUAACUACGUG
rnacentral:rRNA from 1 species